GACGAACGCUGGCGGCGUGCUUAACACAUGCAAGUCGAACGGAAAGGCCCUGCUUUUGUGGGGUGCUCGAGUGGCGAACGGGUGAGUAACACGUGUGUAACCUGCCCUUGACUGUGGGAUAACUUCAGGUAACUGGGGCUAAUACCGGGUAGGAGCUCCUGCGGCAUGGUGGCGGUUGGAAAUUUUAGGCGGUUGGGGAUGGGCCCGCGGCUUAUCAGCUUGGGGGUGGGGUAGUGGAUUACCAAGUCUUUGACGGGUAGCCGGCCUGAGAGGGUGACCGGCCCAGUUAGGCUUGGAAUAAGGCCCAGCCCACACCGGGACGGAGGAGUGGGGAAGAUAACACUAUGGGCUGGAGGAUACCGUAGCCAAGCCGCGCGGGGGGAGACAGGAAUGGGGUAGGAAACCAAAUUCGUCUGUGCCGGAAAGUUAGUGACGGUAAUGGGUAAAGAAGCACCGGCUAACUACGUG
rnacentral:rRNA from 1 species